UCCGGGGGCCCGUAGGGGACCGUCCCCUUCCCUGUGCGCGCUGGAGCGGUUGUCCCGGGCGGCCGCGCGCAGUGACAGUGAGCGUGACGACUACCCGGCCGACUGGGUGCCCGGCCGCGGAAGCUGGAAGGGGACAGAACACGAGGUCAGCAGUCUGCAACACGGAAGAGGCUCUCACCGAAGCCUGACCCUGCUGGCACCCUGAUGUAGGACUUCCAGCCUCCAGAACUAUUCUACAUAUGAGUGGAAUCCACAUAUGAGAAAUUAUAAGAUGGAGUGUCUCCUAAAAAAGCCCAUUUCUCUGACAACGGCUCUAAAAGGAGGAACCGUCCUUCGCAACAGACGCAUGCAUCUCUCAUUCCUCAUCCACUGAGUGUCAGACCCUGUUCUAGGUGCCACCUGGCUUCUGUCUCUCAACAAGCGUGCCUAACUCUUCCCUGAAGUCUCAGCCAUGAUUUUAUUUUAAAAAAGGAGGCCAUUGCCUCAACCUGGGUCCACUGGCCUUUCAGAGAUUCUAAAUUCCCUUUUGCACGUCAGGCUGGGGUUAACGGCUCUUUCUUGCCGCCACUGAGAAAUCCGAGGGCUCUCCUGCCAGUGCUGAGCAGACACUUUGAAAGGCUCACUUCCUGUCUCCUGCGUGUGUGAGUGGCCACUGGAGGCCACGGGAGGGAGGAGGGAAACCUCAGAAGAGUCGGCCCCAAAGUAGCAGCCGCGUGGACCGUCCUGUCUGGCUGCUUCCCCAAUAAAACCCAGGCAGGGGGAGAAAAGCCAACGUUUUGUGACGGAAUGAGCAAAGGAGGGGAAACAUUGAAAAGUGCAUGAGCAGGGCCCCCGGGGAGGGAAGGGGUGGGGGGACAAGCAGGUGGGGAGAAGUGGCUCCAGAAAUUGGGAAAGAGCCCAUCUUACUGGAAGAGAAGGAUGUACUGAAGGAGAGCGAGAAGGAAACAGAAAUCAGCCUGUCGGGUGGGCACUGGCAAGGACCACCUUUCUCAUUCUACAGAUGAGGAAACUGAGGCCCGGAGAGGGGAAGUGGUUUGCACAAGGGCAGGGCCUGGAAGGAAUCAUCUUCUUUCUCGCUCUCUCUUCCCUUGCUCACCUCCCCUUCUGUGGUGAGGCAGUACUGGCAGACAGGCUGCUUGGAAGCCCUACACGGACAGGCGUGGGGCAGCCGUAAAGCACAGGAGGCUCCUGGGUGAGGUUUGAGUCUUGAUUCCAGGUCAGGAAAGGGAGAUCUUUGAGAUCUCUGCCCCCCUCCUGGCAACGCCCCUCAGAACUGUAGCUGGGGUCCUGGAGGAUGUAAAGCUGGCUGUGAGCUGGGGUUGUGUGCAGAGCUGGGGACCCCCGCAGCUGUGCACGCAGGUGCUGAAAGUCUCCGUCAGCACUCUUUGAAGAUACGCACAUCUUUUCUAUUUCAGUAAGAUCUUAUGGAAAAACCCAUACAAAACGUUUGACCAAUCUAAUAUUUAGCAUCCUCACAGAGAGACCUCGGAGAUAAGAGAUGCAGGCCCCUGCCUUCUGCUGUGUUUCCACCUCCUCCGGGGACACUCUUCCCGUCUGCGGAGUUCAUCUUGGCUUCCCAUUGUGCCUGCUCACUGGUAUUUUUAACUCUACCUUUCUAGUAUUUUUAUAGUACCUUUCUAGUACCUGAGCCGGCUCAGCCUGGAUCUCAGUUAUGUGGACCUCUGUCUGCUUCCUUCUCUGGACUGGACAUUCUCCAAGGCCAGGAGGUCCCCGUCUCAUUCAUACCUGUGCAUCGCCCACCUCUGUCAGUGCACAAAUAUGGGAUGAUUUGGAGUUUGAAACCAGCUGUCCAAGCUGGAACGUUUGCCAUGAGCUCUCCAAGAGUUCCGAAGGGUGGAAGGAAGAGGGAUUUGGGUGCCGGAAAUGGAAGGUUAUUCUAAGAACGGGUGUGGCAGGAAAGACAAAUAUAGCUGGUGGAGUGGAGAGUGAGUGGGAGGAAAGAAAGUGGAAGUGGAAGAGAAGGGGCGGAGAGCGAGUGAGCAGAGAAGCAGGAAGGAAGCGGAGACACAGCCCACAGGGCAGUGCAGGCUCCAGGCUCAGCCCUGCCCGCCAGAGCUUGCUUGCUGUAGACGCCCAAAACCUCAGCCUCAGACCUUCCUGCCCUUUCUUUGUCUAUCAUUCUAAUGCUGGGUCAUUGAAAAAGAUCUUUGGCUUAAUUUCCACCAAUACUCUGAUUUUGGACAUUUGGCAAUAAGAGGUCAUGGCCAUGGCACGCCAUGCCAUCCUACUAAGAGGAAAAUAAAUACCUCAAUAUAAACAAUUUUUAUUUCUUGAAAGUUUUUUGUAGUAUUACAAACUCCCAUGACCGUUCUGGCUCUAACGUCGUUCUUGCCUCUUAGGGGUAAGGUUUGUAAUUUGAUGCAAAAUAACCACGAUGCAUAUGAGUCUGUACGUGUCUUGUUGCCUAGCCAGGCGUGUGGGUGAUGAGUUUUCUUUUUUGUUUUUUCAUCAUUACAUCUUCUCCUGCCCUGUGUUUCUGCUUCACAUCCUUUAAAUUUGCUGCUGUUUGACAACCACAGCCUGGAUCUGGUUUCCCAGGAGUUUUCUGGUAGGAAUGAACUGCUCUUGGCUCUGUGAUAGGGCCCUGGGCUGGCUUACUGGGAGACCAUUGCUGUAACCUCUGGGCCAGAGGUGCCUGAGGCGUGAACUGCCACCACUUGCUCUUCCCUCGGCUUGAGCGCCAUCAAGAAACCUAAAGAUUUCCUUUGAUGUUUUAUAAAGUCACUGAUCCUCAUUUGUCAAAAUGUGUCCCAAGGAAGUUUCCUUGAAAGUGAAACCAGUCCAUAAGCUCAUCUUCUCAGGAACCCACAGAAAGUGUGUGGCCACCCUCAGUGGCCCAGGUAGCUGCUCUCUCCUUCCCCAUCGGAUGUGCAGGUGAGUUGAGUUCUCCUAAAGAUGACCCAGCUGCCUAGACACACAGUUCUCCGCGACCCCCUGGAUGCUGGCGGGAAGCCUCACAGCC